GCCCCCGUAGCUCAGUGGAUAGAGCGAGUGCCUUCUAAGCACCAGGUCGGGAGUUCGAGUCUCUCCGGGGGCG
rnacentral:tRNA from 2 species